rnacentral:rRNA from 1 species
GGGGGGGGGGGGGGGGGGGGCGGGGGGGGGGGGGGCGGGCGGGGCCUUCGGGUCUGGUGGCGCACGGGUGCGUAACGCGUGGGGACCUGCCCUUAGGGUCGGAAUAACUCCCCGAAAGGGGUGCUACUACCGGAUAAUGUCUUCGGACCAAAGAUUUAUCGCCUUGGGAUGGGCCCGCGUUGGAUUAGCUAGUUGGUAGGGUAAAAGCCUACCAAGGCGACGAUCCAUAGCUGGUCUGAGAGGAUGAUCAGCCACACUGGGACUGAGACACGGCCCAGACUCCUACGGGAGGCAGCAGUGGGGAAUAUUGGACAAUGGGCGAAAGCCUGAUCCAGCAAUGCCGCGUGAGUGAUGAAGGCCUUAGGGUUGUAAAGCUCUUUUACCCGGGAUGAUAAUGACAGUACCGGGAGAAUAAGCUCCGGCUAACUCCGUG